CAGCUUCUCCGACGCAGGUAGAUUUUUGCACCAACAGGAUUAGCGCUAGAGGAUGGGGCUGAACCUUCGCAGUACCCUUGUUCUUAAAGGAGCGCUCAACGGGAUUGCCCCCAAGUAUCUUUUCUGGUGCCUUCUCCUCCCUCCUCCACUUGGUCUUUCCUCGAUGCCUCCCCGUAAGGCAUCCACGCGAUGAUCCACGACCUCCGCGGCCAGAUCUCAGGCUCCGACCUCACCUCCAGUUUCCCAGCCUUCUCCCCCUCCUCCGACGACAGCAAUCGGCACGGAGCAAUUUGAUCUGCUGGCACAGCAGGUCAGAGGUCUCACUGAGGCUGUGCAGG
rnacentral:lncRNA from 1 species